rnacentral:rRNA from 1 species
AGUGAACGCUGGCGGUAGGCCUAACACAUGCAAGUCGAACGGCAGCACAGUAAGAGCUUGCUCUUACGGGUGGCGAGUGGCGGACGGGUGAGGAAUACAUCGGAAUCUACUUUUUCGUGGGGGAUAACGUAGGGAAACUUACGCUAAUACCGCAUACGACCUACGGGUGAAAGCAGGGGAUCUUCGGACCUUGCGCGAUUGAAUGAGCCGAUGUCGGAUUAGCUAGUUGGCGGGGUAAAGGCCCACCUAGGCGACGAUCCGUAGCUGGUCGGAGAGGAUGGGCAGCCAGACUGGAACUGAGACACGGUCCAGACGCCUACAGGAGGCAGCAGUGGGGAAUAUUGGACAAUCGGCGCAAGCCUGAGCCAGACAUACCGAGGGGGGGAAGAAGGCCGUCGGGUUGUAAAGCCCUUUUGUUGGGAAAGAAAAGCAGCAGGUUAAUACCCCGCUGUUCUGACGGUACCCAAAGAAUAAGCACCGGCUAAGUUCGUGC